rnacentral:rRNA from 1 species
CCUACGGGGGGCUGCAGUAGGGAAUCUUCCACAAUGGGCGAAAGCCUGAUGGAGCAACGCCGCGUGGGUGAAGAAGGUCUUCGGAUCGUAAAACCCUGUUGUUAGAGAAGAAAGUGCGUGAGAGUAACUGUUCACGUUUCGACGGUAUCUAACCAGAAAGCCACGGCUAACUACGUGCCAGCAGCCGCGAUAAUACGUAGGUGGCAAGCGUUAUCCGGAUUUAUUGGGCGUAAGGGGAACGCAGGCGGUCUUUUAAGUCUGAUGUGAAAGCCUUCGGCUUAACCGGAGUAGUGCAUUGGAAACGGGGAGACGUGAGUGCAGAAGAGGAGAGUGGAACUCCAUGUGUAGCGGUGAAAUGCGUAGAUAUAUGGAAGAACACCAGUGGCGAAAGCGGCUCUCUGGUCUGUAACUGACGCUGAGGUUCGAAAGCGUGGGUAGCAAACAGGAUUAGAUACCCUGGUAGUC